UACGGAGGGUGCGAGCGUUAAUCGGAAUUACUGGGCGUAAAGCGUGCGCAGGCGGUCCGCUAAGUCUGAUGUGGAAGCCCCGGGCUCAACCUGGGAACUGCAUUGGAAACUAACGGGCUCGAGUGUGGCAGAGGGGGGUGGAAUUCCACGUGUAGCAGUGAAAUGCGUAGAGAUGUGGAGGAACACCGAUGGCGAAGGCAGCCCCCUGGGCUAACACUGACGCUCAGGCACGAAAGCGUGGGGAGCAAACAGG
rnacentral:rRNA from 1 species